CCCACUGAGUUUCUCGAUGCAUCCCUUGGGACACAGACAACUGUGCGUAAGCCUCUCUCCAGCGAAGCGGCUCUCCGAUUGGCUUCCAUCAAACCAUCUUAGUUCUCUCCCAGAGAAAGUUGUUCUGCAAGCACAGCUGUUACUCGCAGACUGUCCUUCUUGAGGACACGGCCAGAGAAAUGUGGUGGUUUGAUUAACCUGGGCCACACCACGUUGAUGGGAGGGCCUGGAACCUUCUCUCUCCAUCAUACCUGGUGGCUGCUGCCCAGGGGAGGGGGGCCUUGUGUCGGCAGAAGGCUCCCCCGAGAGCUCGCUCUUCAGUGAAUUCAGAGCUGCAGAUGUAUACAGAAAGUCCCCUACAUACGAACGAGUUCCGUUCCAAGAGCACGUUCGCGAGUCCAGUUUGUUCGUAAGUCCAUCAAAGUCUAGCCUAGGUGCCCAAGUAACACAAUCGGCUCUAUAGUGCUGUACUGUAAUAGGUUUGUAAUACUUUUCACACAAACAAUACAUAAAAAAAAACAAACACAAAAAAUAAAGAAAACAUUUUUACUCUUACAGCACAGGACCUUGAAAACCACAGUAGUACCAGCUACAUCACCACUGCUUUUACGCUCGCUUCCGGACAUCCUGGGCUUGAAAUAAAGGUGCUGUUGGCAGAGGAAGCAGACACAUCAGGAGUCAUUUAUGACCAGUGCUGGCUUCACAGGUCAAACGUCUCCAGAAGCUCCCUUCCCCGAGUUUACUACGCCGACUUGCGAACACCUGCCGUCAUCAGCCUCUGAUUACAAAAGACUGUCCGUUUCCGGCUUCAGAAUUUCCAACUGGUUUCGAAGGGAGACCCCAACGAUUCCCUGUUCAGCCCCAGAUCUACUCUGGAACCG